GUUUUWAMCAUGUCMAGGUCGCGCGGGCAGCGCCGGGGCAACCUGGCGGCGAGCGGCGAACGGGUGAGUAACACAUCGGAACGUGCCCAGACGUGGGGGAUAGCCCGGCGAAAGCCGGAUUAAUACCGCAUACGAUCUGAGGAUGAAAGCGGGGGAUCGCAAGACCUCGCGCGUUUGGAGCGGCCGAUGGCAGAUUAGGUAGUUGGUGGGGUAAAGGCUUACCAAGCCUGCGAUCUGUAGCUGGUCUGAGAGGAUGAUCAGCCACACUGGGACUGAGACACGGCCCAGACUCCUACGGGAGGCAGCAGUGGGGAAUUUUGGACAAUGGGCGCAAGCCUGAUCAAGCCAUUCCGCGUGCAGGACGAAGGCCUUCGGGUUGUAAACUGCUUUUGUACGGAACGAAAAGCCCUUCUCUAAUACAGAGGGGUCAUGACGGUACCGUAAGAAUAAGCACCGGCUAACUACGUGCCAGCAGCCGCGGUAAUACGUAGGGUGCAAGCGUUAAUCGGAAUUACUGGGCGUAAAGCGUGCGCAGGCGGUUUUGUAAGACAGAGGUGAAAUCCCCGGGCUCAACCUGGGAACUGCCUUUGUGACUGCAAGGCUGGAGUGCGGCAGAGGGGGAUGGAAUUCCGCGUGUAGCAGUGAAAUGCGUAGAUAUGCGGAGGAACACCGAUGGCGAAGGCAAUCCCCUGCGCCUGYACUGACGCUCAUGCACGAAAGCGUGGGGAGCAAACAGGAUUAGAUACCCUGSUAGUCYACGCUCUAAACGAUGUCAACUGGUUGUUGGGGAAUUUAUUUUUCUCAGUAACGAAGCUAACGCGUGAAGUUGACUCGC
rnacentral:rRNA from 1 species